AGUGAACGCUGGCGGUAGGCCUAACACAUGCAAGUCGAACGGCAGCACAGUAAGAGCUUGCUCUUACGGGUGGCGAGUGGCGGACGGGUGAGGAAUACAUCGGAAUCUACUUUUUCGUGGGGGAUAACGUAGGGAAACCUACGCUAAUACCGCAUCCGACCUACGGGGGAAAGCAGGGGAUCUUCGGACCUUGCGCGAUUGAAUGAGCCGAUGUCGGAUUAGCUAGUUGGCGGGGUAAAGGCCCACCAAGGCGACGAUCCGUAGCUGGUCUGAGAGGAGGAUCACCCACACUGGAACUGAGACACGGUCCAGACUACUACGGGAGGCAGCAGUGGGGAAUAUUGGACAAUGGGGGCAAGCCUGAUCCAGCCAUACCGCGUGGGUGAAGAAGGCGUUCGGGUUGUAAAGCCCUUUUGUUGGGAAAGAAAAGCAGCAGGUUAAUACCCCGCUGUUCUGACGGUACCCAAAGAAUAAGCACCGGCUAACUUCGUG
rnacentral:rRNA from 1 species